rnacentral:rRNA from 1 species
CCUACGGGGGGCUGCAGUGAGGAAUAUUGGUCAAUGGGCUAAGGCCUGAACCAGCCAAGUCGCGUGAGGGAAGACGGUCCUAUGGAUUGUAAACCUCUUUUGUCGGGGAGCAACGAGGCCACGUCUUGCCGUAGUGAGAGUACCCGAAGAAAAAGCAUCGGCUAACUCCGUGCCAGCAGCCGCGGUAAUACGGAGGAUGCGAGCGUUAUCCGGAUUUAUUGGGUUUAAAGGGUGCGUAGGCGGAACAUUAAGUCAGCGGUAAAAUCGAGGGGCUCAACCCCUUUAAGCCGUUGAAACUGGUGGUCUUGAGUGCGCGAGAGGUAUGCGGAAUGCGUGGUGUAGCGGUGAAAUGCAUAGAUAUCACGCAGAACUCCGAUUGCGAAGGCAGCAUACCGGCGCCCGACUGACGCUGAGGCACGAAAGCGUGGGGAUCGAACAGGAUUAGAUACCCCAGUAGUC